AACGAACGCUGGCGGCAGGCUUAACACAUGCAAGUCGAACGCCCCGCAAGGGGAGUGGCAGACGGGUGAGUAACGCGUGGGAACAUACCCUUUCCUGCGGAAUAGCUCUGGGAAACUGGAAUUAAUACCGCAUACGCCCUACGGGGGAAAGAUUUAUCGGGGAAGGAUUGGCCCGCGUUGGAUUAGCUAGUUGGUGGGGUAAAGGCCUACCAAGGCGACGAUCCAUAGCUGGUCUGAGAGGAUGAUCAGCCACAUUGGGACUGAGACACGGCCCAAACUCCUACGGGAGGCAGCAGUGGGGAAUAUUGGACAAUGGGCGCAAGCCUGAUCCAGCCAUGCCGCGUGAGUGAUGAAGGCCUUAGGGUUGUAAAGCUCUUUCACCGAUGAAGAUAAUGACGGUAGUCGGAGAAGAAGCCCCGGCUAACUUCGUGCCAGCAGCCGCCGCCGUAA
rnacentral:rRNA from 1 species